GGAAUAAAGUAAUAAUAGUAUAUCCUCUUCCAUGAUUUUCAUAUGGUCCAUCUGAUGUAUCUAAUUCUCUCACUCAAUAUUAUCUAGGUGUCGUGUAACAUACGAGGGUGGUUUAAAUUCGCGGUAUAUAUAGCUAGUUGAUGGAUCAAUGGAUGUAACUAUAAAUAUGUAAAAUCACGGAUGUACACAAUAAACUAGAUUACUAACUAGUGAUAAUAAGUAAAAUUUCUUUCCGCUAGAUUCAUGAGUUAAGUUCUAGAUUCGUUGGCUUUAUCAUCAACUUUUAAAUUAUUGUGAUAACUAUUAUAUCUAUAUAAUAGUGUAACAAUCAAGAUUCUGUGGUUAGGUGUACGUGGAUCGGUUUAACCAAAACCACCAACUAAUUUAAUAACAGAGGGUCCGGCGUCGUCGUUACUCAUACGUCGUCGUCGCCACAGCAAC